CGUUACGGCUCACAAAUUCAAAUGCACAACACUAAGUUGCCCGUUUGUUUUUUCAUUAAAGAGGAAGAGAAACAAAUCUCUUCUUCUUCGUCCUCGAAAAUACCUGCAAAAUCAGUAGAAGCCAUUCUCUCUCUUUCAACACUCCUCUCUCUCUCUCUCGAAUACUGCAUUGUUCUUAUCCUGAGAUUUCUAUUUCCUUGCGAUUGAAUUAUGGUUGGUUGAUUUCUUUAUUUGAGACGAUUGCUUAAUCUGGACCUGAUGAAGAGAGAAAUUAAAGAACUGAGGCGCCAGAGAGAUUUUGCACAAUCUCAAGUGGAUGAGUUGCAGAAAAAACUUCAAGAGGACCAACGGCUUCAAGCACAUUGGAAUCAACACCACGUCCAUCGGAGCAACUUGGAGCUCUAGAAGUAUUGCAAAAGGAAAGUCAUAGUCUAGGUGAUCGAGAUGCAGCGGAGUCCAUUGCCAAGCUGCAAGGGAAAUGCAACCUAUUCAAAAAAGAUUGUUGAUGUUGUUGAGAAGGAAGAAGGGGAGUUAGAGGAGGUGAGAUUGAUUUGGAUAUGGAACCAGAUCAUUUGAUGCAGUUUGUAAAUUGGAGGGCUUGCAGGAAGUUGUUCUGGGAAAUAGCAUUUCCAAUAAAGAUGAUCUUAUUCAAUUGUCAUUCACUGCAGUUCGAGUGAUUAAUUCUGUGAGUUGUGUUCUACGAGGUUUAUCCUGAUUUUAUUUCUUGGUUAAUUGCAAUGCUGAUUAUUGUCAUUUACACGUUUUCUCCUCGAUGAACCAUAUAGUAAGAGAACAUAACAGGGACAGCUUUUCAAGGUGUCACUCGUCAUCCCUUCUGUUACAUAUUGUAGACUUCUUUCUCUGGUAAAUAGGUUCCUUCUCUUUUCACCCCUGAGCAUUCUGAAGAGGUAUGGCUAGUGUAAUUUCAAUCUUAGAUCUUGUUGUUUCCUUUGUUACUUGCUAUGGUAUUACUGUCACUUGGGUUGAUUUUCUGUCAUUAAGAAGUCUAGAAGUGGUAUAUGUUUCCACAGAUUGAGAUCGUGCUUGCCUCUAGAGAUUCUUCUGGUGUUUUUUUUUGAGUUCUUAGAAGGAUAAUGAUGUGAUUGGUAAAAGUUCAGGUUACAGAACUGAAGGAGUUUCGGAUUUUAAGAAUAUGCUGAUCCAAUUUCAAAUUUUAAGAAUAGAUCGGCUUUGCUUCCUUUAUUGGAUCUAUACCUCUACCAAUUGUAGCAGCUAUCUAUUUCAUCUAGACCAUAUUUAGACAGCUUCUGCUGUCCUUGGUUUCUCUUUAUGUUCUGUAACCUCCUGAACAGUUUCAGGAUAAAGUUCAUACUUGGCUUCUCUUUCUUCAUGGGCAUUUCAGUACUCCAAUACUUCAGAUAGUACUAUAAUCAAAUAGGAUCAAAAUGCGGGUCAUGUUUACACUGGUUCCUUUGUUAGACCUCCACAAAUAUCAGUACCCAAUUAUUAGGCUGCCUGUCAUCCAUCACCUACACGGGAAUCAGCACUUCCUUUACAGUAUAAUAUUUGCGGUUCAUUUGGUUCUCUGUAAUAUUAGGAAAUUCCUUUUCAUUUUCUUCAGCUGGAUAUAAUCUUGAGGAUGAGGAGGGCAUUAUUGAAUCGGAGCAACAAGUUUCCUGGCAGAAAACUUUUAGAGAGCAACAAAGAUAGCAGACUAUGGGAUGUAUGCUUUGUAUCCGUCAUCAGUAGGACGCAGUUUUAUUUGUUAUUCACAUAAGCUGAGCUUAGGCGCUUGAAUUGGUUACAACAGCAUUUGGCAAUGCAUCUUGGAGAUGAGCCUGCAAUUUCUCUAUCCUGAAUGUUUUCUUCUCUCUUUUUAGCCUGCGAACUUACACGAACUGACACAUUUCUUGCAGUUGUUAAUAUCGAAUGAAUGCUUAAAUUAAAUAUAUACCCUAUCGGGACUCCAAGCUCACUCAUAUAUUGCAGCACUCUCUCGGCAGGAAUGCACAAACUGAGCAGAACCACAGCCUCCUGACCCUUCAAAGGAGAAAGACUUAAAAAGUUCAGCAGGUGAGUUUCAACAGCUUAAUUGUUGUCCAGUCAUCUAAUGAAUGUGCUAUAUAUACAUCUCUUUAUUUGAGACGAGUCUAUCAAUUGCUUAAUCAAAAUAGUAAAUUAUUAUGAUAAUUAGACAAAGAAAAAAGCGGCUCUUUUUUAAAAAAAAUGAUUGUGUGAAAAGUGAAUAGAUGGCAAUUAAAGUACAUUACUUGAUUUUUUAAUGGUUACCAAGUGAAACACUUUAUUUUUGUGUUGGUUUAGCAUGUCAGUGCAAGUAACUAAAUUAACAUGUCGUGUUGCCUCCCAAGACAAGUUUAUUUUCUGUUAUCAUCUUCCGUAGUUUUACUAUUUGUUUUAUAUAUUUAAUAUUAUUCUUAAUUUGCUUUUAAUUUCUGUUUAUUCUAUAGUUUAUUUGUUUAUUUGCAUAUUUGCACUUUUAUUUUCUGUUAUCUCA